UACAGAGGUGGCAAGCGUUGUUCGGAAUUACUGGGCGUAAAGGGCGCGUAGGCGGCCUUCUAAGUCGAACGUGAAAUCCCCGGGCUCAACCCGGGAACUGCGUCCGAUACUGGAUGGCUUGAAUCCGGGAGAGGGAUGCGGAAUUCCAGGUGUAGCGGUGAAAUGCGUAGAUAUCGAGAGGAACACCGGUGGCGAAGGCGGCCUUCUGGACAGAGACUGACGCUGAGGCGCGAAAGCGUGGGGAGCAAACAGG
rnacentral:rRNA from 1 species